CGGCCCUGCGGGGACACGGAGAGACGCCGCCAGCUCCCGUGCCCGCGCGCGCCCGGGGCUGCGAGGGGCCCGCCCGAGGGGUCAGGCUUCGGCCUUCCUCGGCAGCCAAGGAAGCCACUGGAUGUUUCUCUCCGCCCUUGAAAACCGCUAUCUCCCUGGCAGGGCGCCGUCUGUCUUUUCCAGGAAGGAUUCAAUGUAAAACGUCAUCCGAAUUCACAGUUAAGUUGAGGAUAACGAGAAUCUUCUCUGCACCUCCAUAACCCAGGAGUGGCCAUUCCCUCUGGCUUCCUUGUGCGACCCUGGGUAGUAGGGCUGUGUGGGUGGAGAGGGGAGCAGACUGCAGCCUCCACCCACUCCACAGCCUGGCCCAGAGCCACCCCAUCACCCUCUAGGGGAAGAAGACAGACAGAAGCUAUGGCAGAGAAAGUCUGUCCUUGUGUGGCUACCAGGAGUCUGGGGUCCUGACUCAGUGGUUCGAGGGUGGAGAUGCCUGAAGGAAGGGAGACCACUUCUGAGGCCUCCAGGGUCUCUCUACCUGCUGAUAGUGAGACGUGACAUUUCCAUCACUUCUAACCUGACUUGCAGUUAAUUACCCUGUGAUUACUGAGACGUGUCAACAAAGAUUUAUUCAGCCACUAGCUGGGAACUGUCCUCCGUGUCUCGGUAAAUCUAUACUGGAAAGCCUCCACCAAAACAAGCAACUGCUCUCAGAAACCAGACAGAGAGGGAAACGUAUCAUCCUGACAGCAGGUGCAGAGGGUCGUGCUCUCAAACAGACUCAGACGGGGCUCAGUGUCAAGAAAUGGCACCUUCUGAAAGUGAACUGAUGUGAGUCAGUGUAAAUGAGGAGGCCACCAUCUGUGGAAUUUUCCCUGGACCAGGCCACAGGGGGGCUGCUGUGAGACGAAGCAACCUUUGCAAAAGGAAAUCAAUGGUAGAAGCCUUCUCACCUUGGUGUAGGGGGUGUGGUAGAUGGAUCGUGACCCUGAUUUUUCAGGCUUCUCUGUGUUCAUGCCCUUUACGAUUUGACUUUGCAGCCCUGCGCAUCAAGAGGAGGGGUCUGCUUCCCAACCUUGAAUCCUGGCUGGCCUCCUGGCUUGCUUUUGCUAAGAGAAUGUGGUGGAAAGUGAUGCUGUGUCAGUUCCAAGUGGAGGUCUUCAGAGGCCCUAUACACUUCUGCUCGCUCUCUGCGAAUUCUGUGGCACCAUGGGAACAAACCCGAGUUGGCCUGCUGGUUGAGGACAGGCAGAGCCUGGUCAAAUCCACUGCCCUGGCUGACAGCCAAACUGCCAGACAUGUGAGUGAGGCCAUCCCAGACCAGCCAGUCUGUAGCUCACCCUCCAGCUGGCCACAGAUGCGCGAGUGAGGCCAGCUGACAGUAGCCAAGGCUGGCCCAGAUGAGCAGAACAGCUCCACUGGCCUGCAGACUUAUGAGCAAAAUUAAAUAGCUAUUAUUUCAAGCUACCGAGUUUUGGGGCAGUGUGUCAUGUGGCCUAGCUCACGGAUACGCUGAGAACAACUGUCAGCCUGUUUCUGAACAGUAAGUAGCAAACAUUAGUUUUCUAUUGAACUGCAAGACUUGCCCACAGAAUACUUUGAUUCCUAGGGAAUAGUAGUAAACUUUGCUUUCCUAAGCAAGAUAGAACGCAUGAAUUAUAAUUAUAUCCUUGCUUCUAAUGAUGAGAUAUUAGCACCCAAUAGUCCCUGGUUUCUGGGGAAGAUGGCCCAGUGAGGAGACAGCUCUAGUUCGAGGGGCAGAUGAGUGGGGAAGGGGCAUCUGUAAGAGGACUGAGAGCUGGUUAUGGGAUGGGUCUGUUAACCCAUCGGGACGGCACGCUGCACUCUUCUGUUAAAACGAUGCCCCAAGGUCCAGUUCUGCCCCCCAGCUUGACCUCAACAGGAGCUGGGCAGAAACCGAGACGGAACCAGUAUGACCUACACUCAAACAAUAGUCGGUUGGAGGAUACAACAGAAAAAACUAGGAUAAUAAUCAUGGCAGGCACUUCUAUGGCGCCUACUGUAUGUCAGGGACUGCUCUAAGUACUUCACGCGUUAACUAUUGAACCCUCACAGCAAUCCUGUGUGGCAGCACCAUUUAUGCUAGCCAUGCAAGGACACCAUACUUAGGAAGAAACUCAACAAACUGAAAAAAAAGGGGCUAAGCACUAAAUAAGACUUAACUCUAUGGAGGGACACAGAUGACGAUUUGACCCAACAGAAAGACACAUCAACACAUCAUGUUCUUGGAUAGAAAGCAUCACAGAGAUAUGAAUUUCCCCCAAGUUAACUUCUAAAUUCAACAGCAUCCCAAUAAAUAUACUGUAUCAACUGA